CCGGAGGCCGGGCGGUCCACCUGGGGCGGCCACGCGGGUUCCGGCCGGGGGAGGCGGGGGCUGGCGCGUGACGCAGGCGGCCACACGUGGCCCCGGAGUGUGCUCGCGGGGACAGGUGCGGGGCCGUCACCCUGGCCUGGGCGUCCCGUCCCGCGCUCCGCUUCACUGGCGGCCUCCUUGGCGGGUUGGCGGCCGCGUCACGGGACGCUGUCCCCGAGGGGCUGCGGGCCGCAGGAAGGGCCCGCUAGCUUCGCCACUUGCAAGUUUUUCUUGGGGCCUGGAAGCCCAACUUGCCCAUCCGAGAAAUGGGACUCUGAAAUAAACAGAUGGGGGGCGCACUCUGCCAACUUGGCCGUUUUAUUCUUUCUCUACGUCCCUACCCGUUUUGGAGCCCAAGUGCUGGAGCAAGAAGACUGCCGCCCCAGACACCCAACGUCCCCGAGGCACGGUGGCCCGACUUAUAUUUGCGUCCCCCGGGGCCGGAACGCUGCUGAAAAGCCCCUCCGGGGCGCGGUCCCUGGGCCGGGUCACGUGACCUCCACUCGACGCCCCGCGGGGGGGGAAGCAAGCAAGUGCGCAUGCGUACCUUUUACCCCCCCCCCCCCCCCCGCGUUUGGCUUGGACGCAACCACUGUCAGCUCCUCCCCCUCCUUUUCCAUCCUUCCUGACACACACUCCCUUCCCCCCGCCCAUUGGUUACGUCAGCCAGACAGGACGGUGAGCCAAUCACGGUGCUGUGUUCAGAGGCCGGCACGCGGAACCGGUCGGAUCGGACCAAUGAGGGCCCGCGGAGCGGACGCGCCCCAACCGGGCAGGGGAGCCGAGGCCGAGUGGGCGGUGCUUCCCCAGUCAGCAUGUGGGCGGGGGAGGGCGGGGACCAGCAGCCGCAGAGGCGUCGACGGCGGCGGCGACGACGACGUUCCUCAGUCUUUGGGGUGGGCUCGGCGGCGCAGGCCGGGCAUCGCGGAGGGUUCGGCGGUCAGCGGCGGCGGCCCUAGGGGGCCGCGGCGCCAUGGGCGGGCGGUAGACGGGCUCGCGCGGGCGAGGCGAGGGGAGGCGGCGGUCGUCCAGGCCGCGGCGACCUUCGGCAGGGCCCGGGGGUGGGGAGGCCCGGGGCGGGGGUCGUCCCGGACAGCGCGGGGCCGCGGGGCGGGUCUCGCAGGCCGUCGGGGUGCAGGAGGCCUGGGCCGCCGCGAGGAGCCGCCGCCGGCCGCUGGGCCCCGCCGCCGGGCCGCUCGACGACGACGCUCCCGCGGGGGCCCCGCCUGA
rnacentral:lncRNA from 1 species